rnacentral:rRNA from 1 species
GACGAACCGUGCGAACGUUAUUCGGAAUCAUUGGGCUUAAAGGGCGCGUAGGCGGCGGUGUAAGUUGGAAGUGAAAUCCCAUCGGCUCAACCGUGGAAUUGCUCCCAGUACUGCAUCGCUCGAGGGGGAUAGGGGUUGGCGGAACUACCGGUGGAGCGGUGAAAUGUGUUGAUAUCGGGAGGAACAUCAGUGGCGAAGGCGGCUAUCUGGACCAACACUGACACUGAGGCACGAAAGCGUGGGUAGCAAACAGG